GCGGCGCUGAUGGUAUCUGUUGUCAAAAGCCCAGACGUCACACCAGGCACAGGGAGAAGGAUUUUGCAACGCCACCGUGGGUAGCCGUGGCCAGCACCAGGGACGCCAGGCCAGGCCGUGGACAUCGUCCCCAUAGGACUGGAUCUGGAGUGGGUCGUUGCAGGUGGCAGGGCCUCAGAGCACACAGCGGCCCAGUCUCAGCCUCCCCUUGGCUGGUGACCUUGAGCAAGUGGCCCUCUCUGGCCCUCAGCUUUUUCUCCAGAAAAAAGUGCGAUUAAAGGACCUUUCAAAAGUGA